UGAACGCUAGCUACAGGCUUAACACAUGCAAGUCGAGGGGCAGCAUGGUCUUAGCUUGCUAAGGCCGAUGGCGACCGGCGCACGGGUGAGUAACACGUAUCCAACCUGCCGUCUACUCUUGGACAGCCUUCUGAAAGGAAGAUUAAUACAAGAUGGCAUCAUGAGUCCACAUGUUCACAUGAUUAAAGGUAUUCCGGUAGACGAUGGGGAUGCGUUCCAUUAGAUAGUAGGCGGGGUAACGGCCCACCUAGUCUUCGAUGGAUAGGGGUUCUGAGAGGAAGGUCCCCCACAUUGGAACUGAGACACGGUCCAAACUCCUACGGGAGGCAGCAGUGAGGAAUAUUGGUCAAUGGGCGAGAGCCUGAACCAGCCAAGUAGCGUGAAGGAUGACUGCCCUAUGGGUUGUAAACUUCUUUUAUAAAGGAAUAAAGUCGGGUAUGCAUACCCGUUUGCAUGUACUUUAUGAAUAAGGAUCGGCUAACUCCGUGCCAGCAGCCGCGGUAAUACGGAGGAUCCGAGCGUUAUCCGGAUUUAUUGGGUUUAAAGGGAGCGUAGAUGGAUGUUUAAGUCAGUUGUGAAAGUUUGCGGCUCAACCGUAAAAUUGCAGUUGAUACUGGAUAUCUUGAGUGCAGUUGAGGCAGGCGGAAUUCGUGGUGUAGCGGUGAAAUGCUUAGAUAUCACGAAGAACUCCGAUUGCGAAGGCAGCCUGCUAAGCUGCAACUGACAUUGAGGCUCGAAAGUGUGGGUAUCAAACAGGAUUAGAUACCCUGGUAGUCCACACGGUAAACGAUGAAUACUCGCUGUUUGCGAUAUACUGCAAGCGGCCAAGCGAAAGCGUUAAGUAUUCCACCUGGGGAGUACGCCGGCAACGGUGAAACUCAAAGGAAUUGACGGGGGCCCGCACAAGCGGAGGAACAUGUGGUUUAAUUCGAUGAUACGCGAGGAACCUUACCCGGGCUUAAAUUGCAGAUGAAUUACGGUGAAAGCCGUAAGCCGCAAGGCAUCUGUGAAGGUGCUGCAUGGUUGUCGUCAGCUCGUGCCGUGAGGUGUCGGCUUAAGUGCCAUAACGAGCGCAACCCUUGUUGUCAGUUACUAACAGGUUCUGCUGAGGACUCUGACAAGACUGCCAUCGUAAGAUGUGAGGAAGGUGGGGAUGACGUCAAAUCAGCACGGCCCUUACGUCCGGGGCUACACACGUGUUACAAUGGGGGGUACAGAGGGCCGCUACCACGCGAGUGGAUGCCAAUCCCAAAAACCUCUCUCAGUUCGGACUGGAGUCUGCAACCCGACUCCACGAAGCUGGAUUCGCUAGUAAUCGCGCAUCAGCCACGGCGCGGUGAAUACGUUCCCGGGCCUUGUACACACCGCCCGUCAAGCCAUGGGAGCCGGGGGUAC
rnacentral:rRNA from 1 species